rnacentral:rRNA from 1 species
UACGUAGGGCGCAAGCGUUGUCCGGAAUUAUUGGGCGUAAAGAGCGUGUAGGCGGCCAGAUAGGUCUGCUGUGAAAACUCGAGGCUCAACCUCGAGCUGUCGGCGGAAACCAUUUGGCUAGAGUCCGGAAGAGGAGAGUGGAAUUCCUGGUGUAGCGGUGAAAUGCGCAGAUAUCAGGAGGAACACCGAUGGCGAAGGCAGGUCUCUGGGCCACUACUGACGCUGAGAAGCGAAAGCAUGGGGAGCGAACAGG